UAAUUUUAUUAUUAUUAGAUAAAAUAAGUAAUAUUUUAUUAAUUAUUAAAAAUAAUUUUUAUUUUUAUUAUAUUUAAAUGGAAAAAAUAAAUUUAAUUAUAGUUAAUUAGUAUUGAUAAAGAAGUAAUAAAAUUUUAUAAAAGGAUAAUUAAUUUUUUGUACCUUGGGUAUCAGGGUUUAUUAAAAAUUUUUUAAAUAUUUAAAUUUCUCGAAUUUAAGAGAGCUAUAAAUUUAUUUUUUUUAUUGUUGAAUAAAUAUUAUAAAUAUAUUUAUAGAUGUAAAAUGCUAUUCGUUCUUAAGUAUAUCUAGUUUUUAAAGAAAAAAAUAUUAAUUUAUUUUUUAUUUAUUAUUUAAUUAAGUUUUUAAUUAAAUAGUAGUAAAAUUUUAUAAAUUUAGGGAUGAGCUUAAAUUUAAAUUUAUAUAAUAAAAGUUGAUUAAAAUUUAAUAAGUAGAAUUAGAAGUUUUUAUUUUUAUUGUGUUUAAUAACUAGUUUAUAUUUUAUUAUAAUUUUUAUAAUAUUUAUAUUUUAUAUUUAAAAUAGUAUUUUAAUUUUAAAAAUAUGGGAAUAAUGAUAAAAUUAGUAUAAUAAAAAUGUAUUUUAUAAAUAUUAUUUAUAGAUUGUUUAAAGGAAUUCGGCAAAUAUAAUUUUCACCUGUUUACUAAAAACAUGGCUUUUUGAUUAUAAUUUAAGGUCUAGCCUGCCCAAUGAUUAAUUUUAAAUGGCCGCGGUAAUUUGACCGUGCAAAGGUAGCAUAAUCAUUAGUUUUUUAAUUGAAAGCUUGUAUGAAAGGUUGGAUGAAAAAUUGACUGUCUCAGGAUAAAUUUUUAAAACUUUAUUUUUAAGUAAAAAAGCUUAAAUAUAUAUAGAAGACGAGAAGACCCUAUAGAGUUUUAUAUAUUAAUUAAUUAAUAAAUUUUAGUAUUAAAAAUUUUGAUUAGUUUAUAUAUUUAGUUGGGGUGAUUGAAAAAUUAAAUAAACUUUUUUUUUAAUUUUACAUUUAUAUAUGAAAAAUUGAUCCUUAUUUAAAGAUUAAAAGAUUAAAUUACCUUAGGGAUAACAGCGUAAUUUUUUUUUAGAGUCCUUAUUGAAAGAAAAGAUUGCGACCUCGAUGUUGGAUUAAAAUAUAAAUUUGGUGUAGGAGCUAAAUGGAUUAGGUCUGUUCGACCUUUAAAAUUUUACAUGAUCUGAGUUUAGACCGGCGUGAGCCAGGUUGGUUUCUAUCUCUAUAAAAAGUAAUAUUUUAGUACGAAAGGACCAAGUAUUGAUUUUAAAAAUUUUAAUUAGAAUUUUACUAAUAUUA
rnacentral:rRNA from 1 species